AGAGCGAACGCUGGCGGCAGGCCUAAUACAUGCAAGUCGAACGGAUCCUUCGGGAUUAGUGGCGGACGGGUGAGUAACACGUGGGAACGUACCCUUUGGUUCGGAACAACUCAGGGAAACUUGAGCUAAUACCGAAUGUGCCCUUCGGGGAAAAGAUUUAUCGCCAUUGGGGCGGCCCGCGUCUGAUUAGCUAGUUGGUAGGGUAAAGGCCUACCAAGGCUACGAUCAGUAGCUGGUCUGAGAGGAUGAUCAGCCACACUGGGACUGAGACACGGCCCAGACUCCUACGGGAGGCAGCAGUAGGGAAUCUUGCGCAAUGGGCGAAAGCCUGACGCAGCCAUGCCGCGUGAAUGAUGAAGGUCUUAGGAUUGUAAAAUUCUUUCAGCGGGGACGAUAAUGACGGUACCCGCAGAAGAAGCCCCGGCUAACUUCGUGCCAGCAGCCG
rnacentral:rRNA from 1 species